rnacentral:misc_RNA from 1 species
UAUUGAAUUUGGGUUUCCAUAUUCUUACACCCUGUGCACCUUUUGUAGGCCAUUCAUUUGGUCUAUGUUUUAUUUCUAACAACUUUGUAAAUGUGAAUGGUAAUGAAUAAAAUUAUUACAACUUUCAACAACGGAUCUCUUGGCUCUCGCAUCGAUGAAGAACGCAGCGAAAUGCGAUAAGUAAUGUGAAUUGCAGAAUUCAGUGAAUCAUCGAAUCUUUGAACGCACCUUGCGCUCCUUGGUAUUCCGAGGAGCAUGCCUGUUUGAGUGUCAUUUAAUUCUCAACCAUGUCUUCAUUGACUUGGCUUGGAGUUGGGGGUUUGCUGGCGGUGUUCUCUAUCAUCAGCUCUCCUGAAAUGCAUUCGUGAUCAGUUGUUAUUAGGGCAUGCACGGCCUUUCGACGUGAUAAUGAUCGUCGAGGGCUGGAGUGUCCUUGACUUAACUAGAUCGCUUUCAUUACUUGCAAGCAAGCUCUUGCUUUUUGGUUAUUAGCUGGUCAACGGCGAACACCAAAGCGUAGACUUGACUUGACUUGACUUUUGAAACUUG